rnacentral:rRNA from 3 species
ACUAAACUAACUAAAGUGGGGGAUAGUGAGGGGAUAAAUUUUCUUAAGGAACUCGGCAAAAUCCCAAUGGCCCACCAGGGCAUAUUGGAACACGGGCCUCGACUGUUUACCAAAAACAUAGCCCUCGGCUAAUAUGAAAAUAGAUGUAUAGAGGGUGAUGCCUGCCCAAUGGUUGUAUCUAAAAGCGGUUGAUAAAAGUCGACCUCGUAAGGACAAUUGAAUGGCCGCGGUAACACUGACCGUGAUAAUGUAGCGUAAUCAAUAGCCAAUUAAUUGUUGGCCAGUAUGAAUGGCGCCACGAAGGCCCCACUGUCUUAAGGAAAUUCCCAGUGAAAUUGAAUUCGUAGUGAAGAUGCUACGUCCAAUUUGUUAGACGAAAAGACCCCGUUGAGCUUUACUGGAGCACUUAUAUGGCCCCGGCCUUCCCAUGCCUGGGAACCGGCCGAAUUUAAAUGGGCGGCUUAGAUUAUGUGGCAGCCCCCCGCUGGGGCAAAUGAAACACCACUCCCCCAUGUCAAAGGGGCUAACCCCCCCCUUGGGGGGGACAGUGUAAGUAGGACAGUUUGGUUGGGGCGACCGCCUUUUAAAAAGUAACGAAGGUGCGCUUAAGGUGUGCAAUUAAUGACUGAAGCCUGACUGCGAGGGGGGUACCCCGAGCAGACACCCCUAAGCCCGCCCGAAGGGCGGCGGUGGGGUGGGCCAUAGUGACCCGUUAAUUUAGAGUGGAAUAGUUAACGAUCAACGAAUAAAAGUUACCACGGGGAUAACAGCGUAAUAUCGUUAGA